rnacentral:rRNA from 1 species
UACGGAGGGUGCAAGCGUUAUCCGGAUUCACUGGGUUUAAAGGGUGCGUAGGAGGGCAGGUAAGUCAGUGGUGAAAUCUCCGAGCUUAACUCGGAAACUGCCGUUGAUACUAUCUGUCUUGAAUCCCGUGGAGAUGAGCGGAAUAUGUCAUGUAGCGGUGAAAUGCUUAGAUAUGACAUAGAACACCAAUUGCGAAGGCAGCUCGCUGGGACGUCACUGACGCUGAGACGCGAAAGCGUGG